AGGAUGAAACUGCGGACGGCUCAUUAUAACAGUAAUAGUUUCUUUGGUUAGUAUUUACAAGGAUAACUUUGUGAAUGAUAAAGCUAAUACUUGAUACGAUCCGGAAAAGUAUUUUUACUUUUCGGCCCUCGGUUGCAAGGCCGGGGAAGAGCGACAUUCUCUUGUGAAAAAGGAUGCCGCGACAAUUGAGGAAAGCAGUGUCUUUUAACAAGUAACCAAGGGAAUUUCCUGAUCUAUCAAUUUGUUGGUAGUAUCGAGGACUACCAAGAUUAUAGCGGAUAACGAGGAAUUGGGGUUCGACAUCGGAGAGGGAGCUUUACAGAUGGCUACCACUUCUAAGGAAGGCAGCAGGCGCGUAAAUUACCCACUUUCGACUCGAAGAGGUAGUGACGACAAAUAACUCUUGGCACCCCUCGGGGUGACUUGAAGGAAUGAUUUAGAAGUAAAUUCUCUAAAGAAAUCAAUUGGAGGGCAAGUCUGGUGCCAGCAGCCGCGGUAAUUCCAGCUCCAAUAGUG
rnacentral:rRNA from 1 species